rnacentral:misc_RNA from 1 species
UUUGCAGACAAGGCGACGACUGUGACUAUUCUCUUAUUGCUUUGGCACAGAUAUACAGAUAAAUUGAAUAUAAUUGGUCAUCUUACGGACAGUGGUACCAUGGAAAAUGUAACUGGCUCACAGUCUAAACCUCNAGUCUAAACCUCAAUGGCAGCAAAGGGGAAAUGAAGAGAAGAAGGCAGCAGUUCAUGAAGAAAUGAAGAGAAUGAACCAACUUCCUGUAAACAGCACUUAUGCUACCCAUCGCCUGCGAGUUCUCAACAAAAUUCUGCAACUUUUAUCCAUUCAGAGGACUGUCUCACAGGAAGAGGAAUUGGAGUUGCUUUUUGCUGGGCUGCAUCUGUAAAAUUGUCUGUGCAAUUGCAGGUGACCCGUGCAAUUUUUUCUUGUAAUCAGGUUAAAUUUGUAACUACUAUGUAUGUUGUGUCUUUAAACUUUGAGCAUUGAUUGCUAUGGCUUUAGGUAUAGCUCCUAGUUAUGUUAGACUACAUUGUAAGUUACAGAGUUCCAAGUUCUGUGAUGAUGACAAAUUGUUU